GACAGAGGGUGCAAACGUUGUUCGGAAUUACUGGGCGUAAAGCGCGUGUAGGCGGCCCUGCAAGUCGGAUGUGAAAUCCCACGGCUCAACCGUGGAGGUGCAUUCGAAACUGCAGGGCUAGAGUCCUGGAGAGGAAGGUGGAAUGCUUGGUGUAGAGGUGAAAUUCGUAGAUAUCGGAAGGAACACCAGUGGCGAAGGCGGCUACCUGGAUUGACACUGACACUGAGGCGCGAGAGCGUGGGGAGCAAACAGG
rnacentral:rRNA from 1 species